rnacentral:rRNA from 1 species
ACCCUGGCAGUGGCGGACGGGUGAGUAACGCGUAGGAAUCUAUCCGUUGGUGGGGGACAACCGUGGGAAACUACGGCUAAUACCGCAUGAUCCCUGAGGGGCAAAGGCGAGAGUCGCCUGAGGAGGAGCCUGCGUCUGAUUAGGUAGUUGGUGGGGUAAAGGCCUACCAAGCCUGCGAUCAGUAGCUGGUCUGAGAGGAUGAUCAGCCACAUUGGGACUGAGACACGGCCCAAACUCCUACGGGAGGCAGCAGUGGGGAAUAUUGGACAAUGGGCGAAAGCCUGAUCCAGCAAUGCCGCGUGUGUGAAGAAGGUCUUCGGAUUGUAAAGCACUUUUGGCAGGGACGAUGAUGACGGUACCUGCAGAAUAAGCCCCGGCUAACUUCGUG